GAGUGUUAUUGUAGUGGCAAGGGAAGAAAAACAGUCCCAGAUUCCCAGACUUUGAGUCAUAGUGCUGGUGGAGACAGGAAGAAUCCACCGAUUAGUUUAGCCGGUGUUGUUAUGGUCAGAUAACGUCGAAUGUUGGAGGGCUGGACGAUAAUUAUCGAAGGCGGAAAGAAGGCAAACAGUUCCCCAACUUAGUCUAAGAGAGUGACGGCAUCCAGGAGACAAACAGCAGAUACGACAAAUAUGUGAUGGGAUGAAAAUGCAUCAUCAGCAAGCCAAUCAAAUGCACGGAAACCGGCGUCCUUCCAAGGCAUGGAUUGUACCCUACAUGCCAACAGCCGUUCUGGCAGGCAACAAAAGGGAACAAUGGCCGCUGCAGUUCGACACGUUCGGAGCGAAAGUUGCAAAUCCGUCCGGAAGUUUCCCAUAUUGAUGGAAGUGUAUAAGCAAGAUUUAUUUCCCUUUUUUUCAUUUUUGUCGCCACAUCUACUACAACUUGGCUCUUGUUGGCUCUUGGGCUUUCGGGUGGACGAAGAUAAAGCUCUAUGGGUACGACACAGAACAACAAAAUUGUCUCCUUCCCAACGUUAGCGUAAGCGGAUCUUCUACUUCUGGCGAUUGCCGUAGAGAUUAGAUUUCACUUUGCCUUCGCAUGGAUGGGAGCCUUUCCACUUCAAGCGGGAAUGGCCUGUGAUAACCAUGUAUAAUUCUAUUGAUCCACUCUCUGAGUGGAUCGUAGA